AUUGAACGCUGGCGGCAUGCUUUACACAUGCAAGUCGAACGGCAGCGCGGGCUUCGGCCUGGCGGCGAGUGGCGAACGAGUGAGUAAUGCAUCGGAACGUGCCCAGUAGUGGGGGAUAGCCCGGCGAAAGCCGGAUUAAUACCGCAUACGACCUGAGGGUGAAAGCGGGGGACCGAAAGGCCUCGCGCUAUUGGAGCGGCCGAUGUCGGAUUAGCUAGUUGGUGGGGUAAAGGCUUACCAAGGCGACGAUCCGUAGCUGGUCUGAGAGGACGACCAGCCACACUGGGACUGAGACACGGCCCAGACUCCUACGGGAGGCAGCAGUGGGGAAUUUUGGACAAUGGGGGCAACCCUGAUCCAGCCAUGCCGCGUGCGGGAAGAAGGCCUUCGGGUUGUAAACCGCUUUUGUUCGGGAAGAAAUCCUCUGGGCUAAUACCCCGGGGGGAUGACGGUACCGGAAGAAUAAGCACCGGCUAACUACGU
rnacentral:rRNA from 1 species